rnacentral:rRNA from 1 species
UAGAGUUUGAUCAUGGCUCAGAUUGAACGCUGGCGGCAGGCUUAACACAUGCAAGUCGAGCGGAAACGACAACAUUGAAUCUUCGGAGGAUUUGUUGGGCGUCGAGCGGCGGACGGGUGAGUAAUGCCUAGGAAAUUGCCUUGAUGUGGGGGAUAACCAUUGGAAACGAUGGCUAAUACCGCAUAAUGCCUACGGGCCAAAGAGGGGGAUCUUCGGACCUCUCGCGUCAAGAUAUGCCUAGGUGGGAUUAGCUAGUUGGUGAGGUAAUGGCUCACCAAGGCGACGAUCCCUAGCUGGUCUGAGAGGAUGAUCAGCCACACUGGAACUGAGACACGGUCCAGACUCCUACGGGAGGCAGCAGUGGGGAAUAUUGCACAAUGGGCGAAAGCCUGAUGCAGCCAUGCCGCGUGUAUGAAGAAGGCCUUCGGGUUGUAAAGUACUUUCAGUUGUGAGGAAGGGUGUGUAGUUAAUAGCUGCGCAUCUUGACGUUAGCAACAGAAGAAGCACCGGCUAACUCCGUGCCAGCAGCCGCGGUAAUACGGAGGGUGCGAGCGUUAAUCGGAAUUACUGGGCGUAAAGCGCAUGCAGGUGGUUCAUUAAGUCAGAUGUGAAAGCCCGGGGCUCAACCUCGGAACUGCAUUUGAAACUGGUGAACUAGAGUGCUGUAGAGGGGGGUAGAAUUUCA